rnacentral:tRNA from 4 species
GCGGGUGUAGUUCAAUGGUAGAACUCCAGCUUCCCAAGCUGAUAACGCGGGUUCGAUUCCCGUCACCCGCUCCA